rnacentral:rRNA from 1 species
ACUUAAGUGUUUAAUUUUUUUAUUAGUUGUUUAUUGAUUUAAUCAAAGUGUUGGUAUUCUUAUUAUUGUUAAAGAAUAGAAGUUUAUUAUUUAUAGAGGAUAGUAUAGUGAUAGAAUAUUAUAAAGUUUAUAAAAGAAGGCUUUAUUUGUCGUACCUUGUGUGUCAGGGUUUACUAAAAAUAGUUAAUUAUUUAGUUUUCUCGAAUUAUAAAGGGCUAUUGGAAUAUGUUAGUUAUUGUAGCAAAAAUAUUAAUAAUAUUUUAAUAGAAAUGAAACGUUAUUCGUUUUAUAAUAUAUCUAGUUUUUUAAGAAAUGAAUUUAAUUUAGUAUCCAGACAUUAUUUGCAUUAAUUUUUAUGUGAAUAUUAAAGGGUUGUAAUAGCCUAUGGGAUGAGCUUUAGGCUAAAUUUUUAUAAUGAAGUUAAUUUUAAUAAUAAGUAGGAUUAGAAUUUUCCAUCUUUAAAAGGAUGUUAUAAUUUAUUAUUAUAUUGUAAUUAUUUUUAUCUUGUUUAAGUUUUUUAUUAAAAUGAAUUCUUUAAUUUUAAGGGAUUUGUAAUAAUGGUAUAAUUAGUAAAUUUAUUUGUUUAUAAAUUGAGUUUAGGGGAGGUUAAAGUAAGGAACUCGGCAAAGUUACUUUUCACCUGUUUAAUAAAAACAUGUCUUUUUGUUAUUAAUUUAAGGUUUGGCCUGCUCCAUGACUAAGUUAAAUAGCCGCAGUAUUUUGACUGUGCAAAGGUAGCAUAAUCAUUAGUUUUUUAAUUGAAAGCUGGAAUGAAGGGUCGGAUGAGAAAGAAUCUGUCUCACUUUAAUUUAUUUGAAUUUUAUUUUUAAGUUAAAAAGCUUAAAUUUUAUAGGAAGACGAGAAGACCCUAUAGAGUUUAAUAAGUUAGGGUUUGAUUAUCUAAGGAUUUAAAUGUAAUCAUUUUUUGGCUUGUUUAGUUGGGGUGACAUUAGAAUUGAAUAAACUUCUAAAUAUUUAUACAUUGAUUUAUGAAUUUAUGAUCCUGACUUUUGGAUUUAAAGAUCAAAUUACCUUAGGGAUAACAGCGUAAUCUUUUUGGAGAGUUCUAAUCGAUAAAAGGGAUUGCGACCUCGAUGUUGGAUUAAAGUUAAGUUUCGGUGUAGGAGCUGAAAUUUUGAGUCUGUUCGACUUUUAAAACUUUACAUGAUCUGAGUUUAAACCGGCGUGAGCCAGGUUGGUUUCUAUCUUUUAUAGAUAAAAUAUUUUAGUACGAAAGGACCAAGUAUUUAAAUAAUAUUUUUUGUUAGAAUGAAAUU